GACGAACGCUGGCGGCGUGCUUAACACAUGCAAGUCGAACGGAAAGGCCCUGCUUUUGUGGGGUGCUCGAGUGGCGAACGGGUGAGUAACACGUGAGUAACCCGCCCUUGACUUUGGGAUAACUUCAGGAAACUGGGGCUAAUACCGGAUAGGAGCUCCUGCUGCAUGGUGGGGGUUGGAAAGUUUCGGCGGUUGGGGAUGGACUCGCGCUUAUCAGCUUGUUGGGGGGGUAGUGGCUUACCAAGGCUUUGACGGGUAGCCGGCCUGAGAGGGUGACCGGCCACAUUGGGACUGAGAUACGGCCCAGACUCCUACGGGAGGCAGCAGUGGGGAAUAUUGCACAAUGGGCGGAAGCCUGAUGCAGCAACGCCGCGUGCGGGAUGACGGCCUUCGGGUUGUAAACCGCUUUCGCCUGUGACGAAGCGUGAGUGACGGUAAUGGGUAAAGAAGCACCGGCUAACUACGUG
rnacentral:rRNA from 1 species